rnacentral:rRNA from 1 species
UUAGAGUUUGAUCCUGGCUCCUGGAUGAACGCUGGCGGCGUGCCUAAUACAAUGCAGUCGAGCGAAUGAUGAGGAGCUUGCUCCUCUGAUUUAGCGGCGGACGGGUGAGUAACACGUGGGUAAUCUGCCUGUAAGACGGGGAUAACUCCGGGAAACCGGGGCUAAUACCGGAUAAUAAGAAGAAACGCAUGUUUCUUUUUUGAAAGUCGGUUUCGGGUGACACUUACAGAUGAGCCCGCGGCGCAUUAGCUAGUUGGUGAGGUAACGGCUCACCAAGGCGACGAUGCGUAGCCGACCUGAGAGGGUGAUCGGCCACACUGGGACUGAGACACGGCCCAGAGUCCUACGGGAGGCAGCAGUAGGGAAUCUUCGGCAAUGGGCGAAAGCCUGACCGAGCAACGCCGCGUGAGCGAUGAAGGCCUUCGGGUCGUAAAGCUCUGUUGUUAGAGAAGAACAAGUACGAGAGUAACUGCUCGUACCUUGACGGUACCUAACCAGAAAGCCACGGCUAACUACGUGCCAGCAGCCGCGGUAAUAC